CCUACGGGUGGCAGCAGUGGGGAAUAUUGGGCGAUGGAGGCAACUCUGACCCAGCAAUGCCGCGUGAGGGAUGACGGUCAUUUUGUUGUAAAGCUCUUUUCUUUGGGACGAAUAAGUGACGGUACCAGAGGAAUCAGCCCCGGCUAACUACGUGCCAGCAGCCGCGGUAAUACGUAGGGGGCCAGCGUUGUUCGGAAUGACUGGGCGUAAAGGGUGUGUAGGUGGUUAGAUACGUUAGAUGGGUAAUACUCAGGGCUUAACUCGCGUGCUGCAUCUAAAACUGUUAGACUUGAGUACUGGAGAGGAUAGUGGAAUUCGUGGUGUAGCGGUGGAAUGCGUAGAUAUUAGGAGGAACAUCAGUGGCGAAGGCGACUAUCUGGCGAGCAACUGACACUGAUGCACGAAAGCGUGGGGAGCAAACAGGAUUAGAUACCCGUGUAGUC
rnacentral:rRNA from 1 species